GACGAACGCUGGCGGCGUGCUCAACACAUGCAAGUCGAACGGUAAGGCCCUUCGGGGUACACGAGUGGCGAACGGGUGAGUAACACGUGGGUGAUCUGCCCUGCACUUCGGGAUAAGCCUGGGAAACUGGGUCUAAUACCGGAUAGGACCACUGCCUGCAUGGGGGGUUGUGGAACGCUUUUGCGGUGUGGGAAGGGCCCGCGGCCUAUGAGCUUGUUGGUGGGGUGAUGGCCUAACAAGGCGGCGACGGGUAGGCGGCCUGGGAGCGUGACCGGGCACACUGGGACUGAGAUACGGCCCAGACUCCUACGGGAGGCAGCAGUGGGGAAUAUUGCACAAUGGGCGCAAGCCUGAUGCAGCGACGCCGCGUGAGGGAUGACGGCCUUCGGGUUGUAAACCUCUUUCAGCACCGACGAAGCGCAAGUGACGGUAGGUGCAGAAGAAGGACCGGCCAACUACGUGCCAGCCGCCGCGGUAA
rnacentral:rRNA from 1 species